rnacentral:rRNA from 1 species
UACGUAGGGUGCGAGCGUUAAUCGGAAUUACUGGGCGUAAAGCGUGCGCAGGCGGCGCGUUAAGACAGGUGUGAAAGCCCCGAGCUUAACUUGGGAAUUGCGCUUGUGACUGGCGUGCUGGAGUGUGGCAGAGGGAGGUGGAAUUCCGCGUGUAGCAGUGAAAUGCGUAGAGAUGCGGAGGAACACCGAUGGCGAAGGCAGCCCCCCUGGGUCGACACUGACGCUCAGGCACGAAAGCGUGGGGAGCAAACAGG